rnacentral:lncRNA from 1 species
UUGACUGAUCUGUUUUAAUAAUUUAUCCAUUUUGUGAACAUGCAGGUGAAGAGCUACUGGUUGAACUCUGAUGGUGCAGAUGUGGUCUUCCAUAUGAUUGAUAAUUUUCUUAUCUAGUCUUCUGAUAAAUUUUGCGGUUCUCAAUUGGCAGGCCACAAACUCAUUCUGGUGUGUAGAACACUGAUGCAAGUACAUUUAUUCUAAAAAUCUCGACCUUGUAGAUAAAUAAUUGUCCUGUGUAUUAGUUGCGCAAUUUUGAUUUGGUUAUAAUUCUUCAUUCAUACACCGCCUAGGGAAUCUGGUAACAAGAAACUGUAGAUUUUCUUAGUAGGUGGAAUUAUCUUGUAAUAGAAUUCAUCAUUUUAUAUCUUAGGAAGAAAUUUCCUACAAGUGACUCCAGCUCCCCUGGCAUCAUGAAUGAAAGCCAUUUCAUAUUUUUUUAUUUAAUACCGCCAUUGUCAUGUGGACACUGUAUGAGGCUUUAACCUAAUUAGCAUGGCGCUGGCAACUAAAAUGUGGUAUUGAAGGUGUGUGCUCUGUAUUCAUUUUAUAUCUUAGGAAGAAAUUUCCUACAAGUGCCUCCAGCUCCCCUGGCAUCAUGAAUGAAAGCCAUUUCAUGUUUUUUUAUUUAAUACCGCCAUUGUCAUGUGGACACUGUAUGAGGCUUUAACCUAAUUAGCAUGGGGCUGGCAACUAAAAUGUGGUAUUGAAGGUGUGUGCUCUGUA